rnacentral:rRNA from 1 species
AUGGAAGGUCAAGUGAUUAAGGGUUGACGGUGAAUGCCUUGGCUGAUGGCCGCGAUGAAGGACGUGGUAAGCUGCGAAAAGUCUCGGGGAGUUGCACGCGAACGGUGAUCCGGGAAUGUCCGAAUGGGGAAACCCUCCUUGGUGAAAGUCAAGGAAUCUCUUUAGCUGAAUACAUAGGCUUAAGAGAAGCGAACGUGGGGAAGUGAACCAUCUCAGUACCCACAGGAAGAGAAAACAAAAGUGAUUCCGGUAGUAGCGGCGAGCGAAACCGGAACAGCCCAAACCUUAUACGUGUAAGCUUGCAGGCGUUGCGUAUGGGGGGUCGUGGGAGCCACAAGUCCGAGCUGCUUAUCGGGCACAGAGUUACAAAGUCAACGUUUAGCGGAACGGUAUGGAAAGGCUGACGGUACAGGGUGAUAGUCCCGUAUGCGAAAAGCGAUUGACCUCUGAGUGGAUUUCCCAAGUACAGCGGGGCACGAGAAACCUUGCUGGAAUUUGCCGCGACCAUGCGGUAAGGCUAAAUAGGUCCAUCAGACCGAUAGUGAACUAGUACCGUGAGGGAAAGGCGAAAAGAACCCCGAUGAGGGGAGUGAAAUAGAACCUGAAACCGUCAAUCUACAAGCAGUGGAACCCCUAUGGUUUACCAGGGGAACCGCGUGCCUUUUGCAUAAUGAGCCGGCUAGUUAUUUUCAGUGGCGAGGCGAAGCCGAAGAGGCGAAGUCGUAGGGAAACCGAGUCUGAAUAGGGCGACAGUCGCUGGGAAUAGACGCGAAACGGGAUGAUCUAUCCUUGACCAGGAUGAAGCUACGGUGAAACGUAGUGGAGGUCCGAACCAGUGUGGGUUGAAAACCGCUUGGAUGAGUUGAGGAUAGGGGUGAAAGGCCAAUCAAAUUCCGUGAUAGCUCGUUCUCCCCGAAAUAGCUUAAGGGCUAGCGUCGGAUGUUUCGUCGUGCAGGUAGAGAGUCUGAAUGGACUAGGGGGCUUACCAGCUUACUGAAUCCAACCAAUCUUCGAAUGGCACGCCGUGAAGUCCGGCAGUCAGACUGCGGGAGAUAAGUUCCGUAGUCGAGAGGGAAAGAACCCAGAUCGCCAGCUAAGGUCCCAAAAUACAUGCUAAGUGGAAAAGGAUGUGGAUGUGCUUAGACAGCCAGGAGGUUAGCUUAGAAGCAGCUAUCCUUUAAAGAAAGCGUAAUAGCUCACUGGUCAAGCGGGUCUGUGCCGACAAUUCAACGGGGCUCAAGCAUGUUACCGAAGCUGCGAACAGUAUUCUGUGGUAGGGGAGCAUUCCCUAAGUCUGUGAAGGUUGACCGUAAGGACAGCUGGAGACAUGGGAAGAGACUCUGUCGGCAUAAGUAGCGAAAAGACGGGUGAGAACCCCGUCCGCCGUAAGACUAAGGUUUCCAACGCAAGGUCAAUCCGCGUUGGGUUAGUCGGGCCCUAAGCCGAGGCCGAGAGGCGUAGGCGAUGGAAAGCUGGUUAAUAUUCCAGCACCAUGAUUAUCUCGUUUGUACGAUGCAGGGACGCAGGAAGGUAGGGACGCACGACUAUGGAAUGUGGUGUGCAAGCUUUCAAGGGUGUGAGCCAGGGAAGUCCGGUUCACGUUAAGCCCAAGAAUUCUGACGAAAAGUCCCUGAUCCUACACUGCCGAGAAAAGCUGCUAAGGAGAGGUAGUUGUGUCCGUACCGCAAACCGACACAGGUAGUCGAGGAGAGAAUCCUCAGGCGUUUGAGAGAACUCUGCUGAAGGAACUCGGCAAAUUAACCCCGUAACUUCGGGAGAAGGGGUGCCCCGGUAGGGUUCAUAGCCCGAGGGGGUGGCACAUAAAUGUUCCAGGCGACUGUUUAACAAAAACACAGGUCUCUGCAAACUCCAAAGAGGAGGUAUAGGGGCUGACGCCUGCCCGGUGCCGGAAGGUUCAAGAGGAGCGGUUAGCGCAAGCGAAGCCGCGAUUUUAAGCCCCGGUGAACGGCGGCCGUAACUAUAACGGUCCUAAGGUAGCGAAAUUCCUUGUCGGGUAAGUUCCGACCUGCACGAAUGGCGUAACGAUCUGGAAACUGUCUCCAGCAGAGACUCAGCGAACUUGUAGCACCGGUGAAGAUGCCGGUUACCCGCACUUAGACGGAAAGACCCCGUGCACCUUUACUACAACUUGACAUUGAUGUCGGUAUUGUGCUGUGCAGAGUAGGUGGGAGGCUGUGAAAUUGGCUCGUUAGGGUCGAUGGAGCCAUCGUUGAGAUACCACCCUGCGCAAUGCUGAUAUCUAACCCACGCCCGUAAUCCGGGUGGGAGACAGUGUCAGGCGGGUAGUUUGACUGGGGCGGUCGCCUCCUAAAGCGUAACGGAGGCGUGCGAAGGUUCCCUCAGGCUGUUUGGAAAUCAGCCGCAGAGCGCAAUGGUAUAAGGGAGCUUAACUGCGAGACACACACGUCGAGCAGGUGCGAAAGCGGGUCAUAGUGAUCCGGUGGUUCCGAAUGGAAGGGCCAUCGCUCAACGGAUAAAAGGUACGCCGGGGAUAACAGGCUGAUCUUGCCCAAGAGUUCAUAUCGACGGCAAGGUUUGGCACCUCGAUGUCGACUCAUCGCAUCCUGGGGCUGGAGCAGGUCCCAAGGGUUCGGCUGUUCGCCGAUUAAUAGCGGUACGUGAGUUGGGUUCAGAACGUCGCGAGACAGUUCGGUCCCUAUCUAGUGUGGGCGUAGGAUAUUUGAGAGGACCUGUCCUUAGUACGAGAGGACCGGGAUGGACUGACCUCUGGUGUUCCAGUUGUGUUUCCAAAUGCAACGCUGGGUAGCUAUGUCGGGAAGUGAGAAGCGCUGAAAGCAUCUAAGCGCGAAACACCCCUCAAGAUGAGAUAUCCCCACGAGACCCGUCGUAGAACACGACGUUGAUAGGUCGCAUGUGUAAGCGCAGUAAUGCGUUGAGCUGAGCGAUACUAAUUGGUCCCACUGGCUUGACCUUUCAUCAAUCAAUUACAUUUG